UUUUUAUUAGUAGGCUAUUUGUUAACUUUGUAUUCUGAUUGUUUCUACAUUUCAGUGCAUGGUGAUAUACUUAACAGGGCUGAGAGUGAUCGUGCUUCUGAAGCCACACCACCGGUUCUAUCUGAUGAUAAUCAGGUCAUCAGAGACUCCGACACAACAGAGUCCAUUCUGCUUGGCGAACACGAAUUGGAUAUACCGAUCGGGGUGGCUGAAGUGGAGGUCACAACAAGUAGCCCCGCUGCAUCUACAGACGCUACAGCGGGGGUAUCAUCCGACGUCCGUAUCCAUCACAAAGCAGCUGAGAAGUGUCGUCAUUGCGAUGUUGAAGAAGAUCUAACCGAAACUGGGGGGUCUGCUAAGCGGCUAUAUGUGGGUGUUCAAGAAACGAUUGACCUGACUACAACGGAUGACGCGAUAGGCCUUGGAGACGCAUCUAUCAACAACGGGGUUACUUAUUCAAAGGACUAUCGACCUAUUGUCAAGACUCAAUCUGAGGAUAUUAACCGCACGGAUUUAUGGACUGAUACACAACUUGAAGCAUGGGAUAUUAAUGGAACAGAUUUUGAUGAUAUAUCUGACGGGGAUAUACUAAACGCUGUGGAAGCCAUCGAAUCCUGUUAAGUUCAUAAAAGGUCAGUUUUAACGGUUGUUGAUGACUUGGGGUCGGCUGGGCCCUCUGUAAGUAAUGCAGUGUGUGAUGUAAACUCAGGUCACUAUAAGUACACAGAUACAGAAUUAGCCUUGGAUACUGUUGUGUUGAUGCUAAAUGAUGUUAAGGCAAAAUGUGGUGAGCGUUUAAUACACACAUGACUCCUAGUGCUACCGGGAUAGUAGAUCCAUGCGGCAAUGCGUUAGAUCUGGUUGUUGGUGCUAUGAAAAUUCUGCAGGAGAUCUGCAGGGAUAAUUACGUCGCUACAAGAAAUCAUGCGAAGAAUUUCGCGGUUGUUAUGGAUGGUAUACAGAGCAGG